ACAAGCCGAUUGAUGGCACCGGGCCAGUUCUACUACCCGUCUAGGUGAAGUAAGGGGCGAAGUGGUGUCUUGGGCAAAAGGAACAUGGUUCAACGCUCCCAGUGCCCUGAACCACCAGACUCCCGUCCUCCACCGACACAGGGGCG